rfam:Dichanthelium oligosanthes cultivar Kellogg 1175 unplaced genomic scaffold Do_version_2_scaffold2448, whole genome shotgun sequence.
AUACCUUUCUCGGCCUUUUGGCUAAGAUCAAGUGUAGUAUCUGUUCUUAUCAGUUUAAUAUCUGAUAUGUAGGCCAUGUGCCUACUUCGAUAUUAAAUUUAUUUUUUGUGGGGGAGGGCCCACUACAGUGGCUUGCCACUGGGGCCCUCACGUGUCGCUCAGGCGUUGCACUAUAGCCCGAGCCUGGCGCACCCCAA